GGGCCUGUAGUUCAGUUGGCUAGAACGCAUCAUUUGCAAUGAUGAGGUCAGGAGUUCGAUUCUCCUCAGGUCCA
rnacentral:tRNA from 1 species